ensembl:lncRNA
GCUUGAAGUUUUGUAGUGGAGUGACUUUCUGGUAAGAUGACUGACUCUUGCUAAUCCUGAGCCGGUUCCAAAGAAAGCUGUACCUUUUCUGCUCAUUCCGCUGAGCCUUUUUGGAAUUGGACGAACACAUUUAGUUUGUUCCUCUGCCAGAGUCACAUUUGCAAUAAUCAAAAGAAUUUAGGAGCCUGGAUAGCUCAGUCGGUAGAGCAUCAGACUUUUAAUCUAAGGGUCCAGGGUUCAAGUCCCUUUUCAGGCUUGAAGUUUUGUAGUGGAGUGACUUUCUGGUAAGAUGACUGACUCUUGCUAAUCCUGAGCCGGUUCCAAAAAUAGAUGUACCUUUUCAGCUUGUUCCUCUGAGCCUUCUUGGAAUUGGUUUUCUCCUCAGUCGUCUCAUAUAUUCCUUUAACAAGUAUUGUUUUACAAGAUUACCUUUCAAUCAAGGUCAAACCUCAGUUGGUAGAGCCUCAGACUUUUAAUCUGAGGGUCCAGGGUUCAAGUCCCUAUUCAGGCUUGAAGUUUUGUAGUGGAGUGACUUUCUGGUAAAAUGCCUGACUCUUGCUAAUCCUGAGCUGGUUCCAAAAAUAGAUGUACCUUUUCAGCUUGUUCCUCUGAGCCUUCUUGGAAUUGGGUUUCUCCUCAGUCGUCUCAUAUAUUCCUUUAACAAGUAUUAUUUUACAAGAAUACCUUUCAAUCAAGGUCAAACCUCAGUUGGUAGAGCCUCAGACUUUUAAUCUAAGGGUCCAGGGUUCAAGUCCCUUUUCAGGCUUGAAGUUUUGUAGUGGAGUGACUUUCUGGUAAGAUGACUGACUCUUGCUAAUCCUGAGCCGGUUCCAAAAAUAGAUGUACCUUUUCAGCUUGUUCCUCUGAGCCUUCUUGGAAUUGGUUUUCUCCUCAGUCGUCUCAUAUAUUCCUUUAAUAACUAUUGUUUUACAAGAUUACCUUUCAAUCAAGGUCAAACCUCAGUUGGUAGAGCCUCAGACUUUUAAUCUAAGGGUCCAGGGUUCAAGUCCCUAUUCAGGCUUGAUGUUUUGUAGUGGAGUGACUUUCUGGUAAGAUGCCUGACUCUUGCUAAUCCUGAGCCGGUUCCAAAAAAAGCUGUACCUUUUCAGCUUGUUCCUCUGAGCCUUCUUGGA